ensembl:ncRNA B0285.16 ncRNA
UGCGUUAUGCCUUGGAAAAUAUGGCAAAAAGAUCUGCACGAAGUGGGAUUCGAACCCACGCACCCAUACGAGUACCAGAACACCCAGUAGACCUCGAACUUGAGGUAAGCGUUACGCUUGAGUCUGGCGCCUUAGACCACUCGGCCAUCCGUGCGGGUGUUUCUGUGCUGUCUUGUUUGACUAGACUAGCAAAAACGUAUUGAGAGAUAGGGGUCUA